rnacentral:rRNA from 1 species
AUUGAACGCUGGCGGCAGGCCUAACACAUGCAAGUCGAACGAGUGGCGGACGGGUGAGUAAUGUCUGGGAAACUGCCUGAUGGAGGGGGAUAACUACUGGAAACGGUAGCUAAUACCGCAUACCAUCGGAUGUGCCCAGAUGGGAUUAGCUAGUAGGUGGGGUAACGGCUCACCUAGGCGACGAUCCCUAGCUGGUCUGAGAGGAUGACCAGCCACACGGGAACUGAGACACGGUCCGGACUCGUACGGGUGGCAGAAGGGGGGAAUAUUGCACAAUGGGCGCAAGCCUGAUGGAGCCAUGCAGCGUGUGGGAAGAAGGCCUUCGGGUUGUAAAGUACUUUCAGUGGGGAGGCGUUACCCGAAUAAGAAGCACCGGCUAACGCCGUGCAAGCAGCCGCGGUAAUUC